UUACAGCUCUCGCUAGGCGCGCACACGCUCACCCGCGAACGCCGGAAAGUCAGGCUAAAAGUGUCUGCUGCUGCUGCUGCCGCCCCCCACUCCGCCUCCAGGAGAGACCUGAGGACUCUGCUGCAAUGGAACCACCAAGCCAUCUUUGACCUAGCACUGGGGGGAAAAAUGUCCAGGUGAAGAACCUAAAGAAAUGGUGUUACCUGGCAAGAGAUCUGCUAUCCUUUAUGAAAAAUCCAGCCAAGGUAAUGCUUAUUUUGAAUUGAUUUUUUAAAAUCUGUUUAACUCUGAUACAUUUGACUGUUUAAUUUUCUUGAUGACUGGUUUUGAGCUAUUGAGUAAUCCAUCAAAAAAGUAACUCAUUAUCUGAAAAGUAGAAGGAAUGAUUUUUGAUGACUACUAUAUAUGGGAAAUGAUCGGUCAAUUUUAAAAUAUAUACUAGCUUAGGAGUUCCUGUCUUGGCUCAGCAGAAAUGACUCCAACUAGGAAC
rnacentral:lncRNA from 1 species